UUUUUUUUUUUUUUAAGAGAAAAAGAAAAAAAAAAAAAGAAAAAUUAUACAGCAAAAAUAGGAGAAAGCCCUAAUUUUGAUGUAUGGUUUUUUGAAAUAUUAUUAAUACCCAGGCAAAAAGCUAAUACCAGUCACUCAUUGAUAAUAAAGUAUUCGCAUUAUGGGGGGGGGUUAAUUGUCUUUUUUUGUGCCCCCCCCCCCCAUCCAUCCUCAAUUGGAGUCUGCAGCAGUGUCUGCUCACGCACUCUGCAGUCAAGGGGAGGUUCCAGAGGGGCAGCCACUGUCUUCCAUCUCAGCCAGGACCCUUAGAAAACAACACAUGGGUUGCUGGAAGGCUGCCGUUGUCUCCAAGAGGAGGGUAAAUGAGGACAGUUUGAGAGCCAGGGAGCAAAUGGAGGUGGUGAGAGGAAAAUCCCCCGUAGCUGUUCUUGCUCAGGGCUCUGUGAUCUCUCUGAUAACACAAAACAUGAUGGGAACAUCAUGAAGAUAAGCGUGCAUGUUUGUGUGUUCACAUUAAUGGCUAUCAGUGUAAAUCAAUGGUUAUCAGCGCUGGUGGGAAGAAGAGAAUAGACCAAAAGCUGCCCAGUAGGACCAGUUUGUCAUAUAAGCCUUGUACAGGGGUUGUCUGAGUCUGGAAUCUCCCAGAUGUGUUUGAUGGUUGAGAAACAAAUGGUGGGUUUGGACAGUUCAUGGUUGGGUGGAUCCUCAGUUGGAGACACCAUAGAGUGGCCUAAAUUUUGGGAACCUCUCCAAUAACUUGAAAUGAGGCAGAGGUGAGUUGGAUGAGUAUGUGCAGGUUUGUCCUAUAGAUCUCCUGGUCUGUUCUCCAGGCAAUAAACUGAUACAGAAAUGCUUGGGAAGAACAUACUUGCUCUGAGUAGCAGUUGAAGCCAGAAGAAGUCCUGGUCAAAUGAGCUUGUCUGGGCUCAUUUACUCUCUGGAAAUCCUGGAUAAAAUCAGGCACUUUGCUGACUUCUGCAUGAGCGUCUGCUGUCAGCACUGUAGCACCCAUGCGCUUGCAUGGGCAGGUUGGACAUUGUCUGGCUUCACUUGGUUAGUGAAGUUAUUUAUUGCCAGUGACUGGUGUUGCCAACUCUUAGAAUUGGAUAAUAAAUCCCUGUGCAUUGAUUUUCCUACAGUCCCGACCUCUGGAGUCUGGUGACUGCAGAAGCUCCUCAGCUUCCAAUGUUACAGAGGAUGUUUUUGCAGAGAAAAACAUGCAAAGAGACUUCCUCACUGGCUCAAAACUCAGAGUAAAACAGGACAUAAACUUACUAUGAAAAAGCCCUCCUGAUGCGUGUCAGGGUCAUGCAUUUUGGCAACUGGACUUGGGUGCUUCUACAGCAGCCAUGAGUGAGGAUGGGGAAGGUGGGAACCACAUCCCCUCAUGGAAGGGAACUGCAUCCCACUGGGGAAACGGGCAGACCUGGGAUGGGUGUUGGGAGCACGGAAUGUCGCAAUGUCAUUUUUCAAAUUACAACCAUACUUGAUGUUUAAUUGGGACCACAUUGGCUGAAUUCAUGCAGCAUCGGUAUUAAUACUUGACAUCAUUAUUUUUUGUUUGUGUUACAGCCAUUGUUGUCAGGGAACAGUGUCAGAACAUGUCACUAUCGUUUAAAGCCAGCUUUCAAGAGCUUUGCAGGGGUUUUUUAUCCUCUUUGGCUUGAAUUUGGUGUGUCCUGCCAUAAGCACCUACAUCACUCACUGUAGCACUCACACGCAGUCGGUCUAGGGGCGUUUUUUUAUGGUUUGGGCUUUUUUAAGGAGAUUUUUGUUGAUACUGUGCUCAUUUUAACUGGGAAGAACCAGACAAAAGCCAGGUUGCUUCUCCCGUUUCCUUUUCUCCUUCCCAGCA
ensembl:lncRNA